rnacentral:rRNA from 1 species
AAUGAACGCUGGCGGCAGGCCUAAAACAUGCAAGUCGAACGCCCUAGCAAUAGGGAGUGGCGCACGAGUGAGUAACACGUGGGAAUAUGCCUUUUGGUACGGAACAACGUCUGGAAACGGACGCUAAUGCCGUAUGGUCCCUUCGGGGUAAAGAUUUAUCGCAAAAAGAUUAGCCCGCGUCUGAUUAGCUAGUUGGUGAGGUAAUGGCUCACCAAGGCGACGAUCAGUAGCUGGUCUGAGAGGACGAUCAGCCACACUGGGACUGAGACACGGCCCAGACUCCUACGGGAGGCAGCAGUUAGGAAUAUUGGACAAUGGACGCAAGUCUGAUCCAGCCAUGCCGCGUGAGUGAUGAAGGCCUUCGGGUUGUAAAGCUCUUUAGUCCACGAUUAUAAUGACUGUAGUGGAAGAAUAAGCCCCGGCUAACUUCGUGCCAGCCGCCGCAGUAAGAC